CUCAGUUUCAUGAUAUCCCAUGUAUUAAUUGUUGAGAACACUUCAAGUCUUUGAAAAAAUAAAUUGGAGAAGCUAUCAAAAGUUGGAAAGAUCUUCCACGCUAUGGAUUGAUGCUCAAGAUGAGAAAGUGCUAGAAAUCUCAGACUAAGUGGGCAACUUCUGGUCAAGAGGUAGGAGAUGGCAGCUCCCACCUCAACAGCUCCCUGUACUGUCCUCUCUCGCCAUUUGGUGUAGAAGUUGCAGAAUGAGAAGGGAAAGCUGCGCAGUGCUUGAAGGAUGGGAACCAGCCCUGUAGCAAGCAGCGGGCAGAUGGGAAAAGAGGGGAAUCUCUUUCUGAACUCCAGGACUGUGGCGUUCUGCAUUUCAGCUUCAUUUCAGUAAGGUAGAUCCAGGUAGGCAAGGUGGAUAUGGCUGGGUAAGGGAAGAGCUCUUGCCCAGUAUGGCAAGAGCAGAAGACUAGAUCUGGGGCUGAGGGGUAGGGUUUAUUGACUGGCACAAGUGACCAUCAGGCCAACACAAGACCAGCCCUCCUCAGACCAGGAGCUUGGAUCACAUCUGUUCUACUUCUGCUCACAAACACCAAACAUUUUCUGUAAGUCUGGGAAGGGAGAGAUGCCCCUGGGGACCUGCAGUUUGUCAUUGGAGCACAUACGUGCUCAGACCACUGUGGUACCAAUUGUAUGUGAAAAAUGCUCUUCAUGCGUGUGAAACAGGCCCCAUUUAAAGUCACCCACCUCCACAGCAAAGCAUUUCUCUAGUCUAGAAAGAGUAAUCAGGGAGAUCCUUUCGGAGGAGGCACUGACCUUUGAAUAGCUGUGAAGGCUGGGAAGAGUCAGGGAUACAAAGGCCAUGGGGAAGAAUGGUAGACUGUGACAUUCACAUAUGUUUGUUCUCUGAGAAUGGUACCUGCUAGACCCACGUGAGGGAGAUCAGGAAGGUGACAUGUUUGAAAAAACAAGGGAGAGGCUGAAGGCCAGAGAGGAUGGGGAAGUCGGUAGGUCCUAGGCAAGCAUAGCCCAGGAGCCUUACGAAAUGUGUGAAUUUGAGCUGGUAGGAUCAGUGGGAAGAAGUACUUUACACACAAGUCUGAUGGUCUCUGUUUGAUCCACACAGAACCCAUAGCAGAAGGAUGGACCUCACAGUAGAAGGAUGGACCAACUCCUGAAAGAUGGCCUCUGCGCUCCACAUGCGUGCCGUGGCUUGUUGAGGAAGUCAUCAGUACUCCCAACAUCUUUUCCCCACUUCCCUUCCCCUUCUUUGUUGUUCUAUCUCUGUCUGUCCUUUCUCAAGCAAGGGGGUCCUUUAUUAAUCAAUAUUCUGGAGAGCUGAGGGGGGAGACUGGUUUGGGUGUGUGUAUGAUUAUAGCCCCAAGAAGUCCAGGCUUGCUUUCACCUUCUGAGUUAGCAAACCCGUGGUGGGGCGGGGGUGGGGGGAGUGUCUUUGUAUCUAAUACUUCCAGUAAGUCUGGGAGCUAAUCUGAUGCUCAUGGGCAGCCUUGGCAAUGUGCCCAUUGCUGUAGUCACUGUGGCCUUGCCAACAGCCAGACCUGGAGGGGAUGUGGGUGGUGAGGUCAGUCUCAUGUGAACCGCAUGAUGUUAUUAAAAGUGUUUAUCCAUAGGAGGACAGGAGUGUUGAUAGCUGGAGUGGGUGGAAAGGAUGCUUGACAGACCAGCCCAGCAGCUCUUUGCGACAGAUAGCAUUUGAGGUGGUGUAGCCGGCUGCCCAGAUACGAAUAAACACACAGAAAUGAUAUUAAUUUGGACUAUUAGCUCAGGCUUCUUAUUAACUAACUCUUACAUCUUAAAUUAACCCAUUUCUAUUAAUCUGCUUAUGGUCACGAGGCUGUGGCGUACCUGUAAGGUUCCGGUGUCUCCCUAACUCUGCCUACUUUCUCUCUAUAUCUCUGUUAGAAAUUCCUGCCUGGCUUUACUCUGCUAAACCAUUGGCAAUAAACCAAAGUUUAUACCAAUGUAAAGUAUUCAUUUCUAUAUCAUGUCCCCCUUUAAUUGAAAACAAACAUUUAUAAACAAUCAUUUGGGGAAUUUGGGUGUAGUUUUUUCCAAACUGCUUUUUGCUGUUUUUUGGGUGAAGUAUUUUUUAGAGUGUAUGGAGACCUUUUGCAGGGAAUGGUUCUUGUUCCAUCUAACUACAUUAGCCUGGAAGGAAUCCACAGGUUUUUUUUUUUUUUUUUUUUUUUUUUUUUUUUUUAUCUUCUGAGGAAACAAAAACAGAACCUCUUUUCUAAAGCAACAUAUCCAUAGACCCAAACUUUGAAGUCAAAAUACCUUUAUGUUGCUUUAACUUAGCAACCGCCAGAACCAAAUGUCUCUCUGCCAUAAAAAAUUUAAAGAAAACAUAAUAAUAUACAUAGUUUAGACUCUCUGUGCAUAUUUUAUUUUUAUGUGACUUAUGUUUUUACUCAUAAUUUAUAACUGUCUGUACUUUUUUAUUAUUUUCACUGUCUCCUUAAAGACUUUGUUUUUUAAAACUAUUUAUUUUUUGAUAACUGUCUAUACUCUCUUUAUCUCUCUUUUUCAAGCCUACGUACAUUUUAAAAACACAUUGGGACCUGUUUAAAGGACUUUUUUUGGUCUGAAUUUGUCUUUAUUGUAUAUUUGUAAUCAUUUUCUGACCAAAAACAUCCAUGCUGCCAGCACAAGCCAGGAAGUUUUUUUUUUUUUUUUUUUAAAGAAGCUGCACACUUUUUGCUGCUUAUGCUGAGUUAGAAAGUCUCUUAGAGGAGCUGUGGCUCUGCUCGCUGCCAUCAAACAGAGCCUAUCUGAAAAAAAAAAUGCAGCUACCAAGAAGCUGUGCUUAACUCUGUUCUUUUGUGUCUAGAAUUUCUUCCCAAGUUCUCUCAGUUUUUAUGUGAAUGUGGUUGCCCCAUAUGGGCACUAUUUGUAGUCAGAGGCUGCUCGUUUGUUUCCUGGCUGCCCAGACCCCAAUAAUAAACACAGAAACUAUAUUAAUUGCAACUGUUUGGCCUAUUAGCUCAGGCUUCUUAUUAACUAACUUCUACAUCUUAAAUUAACCCAUUUCUAUCAAUCUGUGUAUUGCCAUGAGGGUGGGGCCUACCUGUAAGGUUCUGGUGGCAUCUUUCUCCUUUGGCAGUUAUAUGGCUUCUCCCUGACUCUGCUUAUUUUCUCUUUAUAACUCUAAAUUUCCCACCUGGUUUUACUCUACCAAGCCAUUGGCCAAAGCAGCUUUAUUCAUUAGCCAAUCAAAGCAAUACACAUACAAAAGGACAUCCCACAUCAAGCUGGGCCUGAGUAACAGAAAGGAAGAACAUUCUGGGAGGACAUGGGGAAAAAGGCACAAGGUGUGAUUGGUCCAGCCGGAAGCUUGGUCCCCUGGGGCUUCAGGAUGGCAAAGAGGGAAAGAAACUGUUUUUGUUCUUUUCAGAACAGCAUAUGCUGCAGCUCUUACUGUCGUGGCCAUUCUUCUCACCAUUUGACUUUCACGAUGGAAGGCUUUAAUCAAACCCAAAGACAAAACAGACCAGAUAACCAACCCACCUGAGCCUGCUACCCAGCUUUUCAAUUAUGAGUGUUCUACCGAUUUUAAGUUGCCGAUCUUCCCCCAUGGAGUGCUUUCAAACAAACCCCAGACACCACAUCCUGCUUCCUCUGAACCUGUUAGGUCUGAUGACACAUGUUUAUGAUCUCGGCACUCAAGACACGGAGGCAGGAGGAUGAUAGUCAGAGACCACCUCCACUAUGAAGAGAGCUCAAGGCCAACCUGGAAUACAGGAAACUGUCUCAAAUAUAAACCCCAGGCUUUCUGUUUUACAUUUUUAAUCUUUGAUUUUUAUUUGCUCUUUCUUUUGAAUUUACCGUGUUCUGGUUUACUUUUCUAGUCUUCUUUAGCAGGCAUCCUAGCUUUCUUCUUCAUCUAAAAUAAUAUUUCAUGGCUGCUCAUGUUAUCUUUAAGUCUUGAUUCAGCUGCUUUCUUAAACUUCUGGCAUAGUCUCCUGAUUAUAAAACAGUCUGAAAAUAUAGUCUAUGUUUAUUUACUCUAAUUCCUAGUAUAAUUUCUUUUUGGAAAGAAAUUGUUGUCUUAUUUUUUUUUUUUUUGAGUGUUAACUUGUACUCUGUGGAAUGCACAGACCACGGGUCUACUUGGGCAGGUUCUACCAGCACACACCUGUGUAAACUAGACCUCCAGCAUCACAGUGUUUGUUCUCAUCCUUGCUGUCUCCAGCAAACCCACACGCAGUGACGACUCUGACUUCCACAUUGUGUAGCAUCUCUGCCUUCUCUAAAUGUAACACAGUGGAACCAUGUUACAUGCAUGUAGUCUUUGUGACAUUUUUUAAAAGCUCACUGUUUUGCUUGGCUGUUUGUUUUGUUCAUGUUGUUGCUUCUGUUCUGUUCUUAUACCUCUCUUUCUUUUUGUUUUCUUGCCUCUUCUCUUUUCCCUCCCCCUAGACCCCUUCUUCUUUCCCCUUCUUCCUGUGCUCUGUGACGCAUAAAUAGCACAAAUUUCUCCCAUGGAUGCAUAUGUAGAUUCUUUCUAGAUUUGCUCUUUACUUUUUUGGUUAUGAUGAAAACUGCUGCAAAUGUUUUCAUGACAAUCUUUUUGUAGUACUUGUUCCUAUUUCUUUCAAGCAAAUACAUAGGGGUGGAAAUGAGAAAAUAUUUAGGAGUCAUAGGUAGGUGUGUAUAAGAAACCAAUUUUUUUCCCAAAGAGGUCUUUCUAAUUUCUGUGUCUACCAGAAAAUCCUUACCAGCAUUGACCUUUUAAGACCUUUGAAGUUUUAUAACCCUAGAGACUAUGCUAGUUGUGUUUUUUAAAAAAUCAAUUAUAUGUUAUAUAAUUUACCUACAAUAAAGUGCACCCAUUAAAAGUAUGAUUGGUGUGUCAUGACAAAUAUAAAACCAUCACCCCAAUCAGGAUGAAGGACCUUCCAGUCACCAUGUACCCCUUUGAGGCCAAGUAAACACCCACUAACUUCAUUUCUUCUUCUGUGUAUUGCUCUUCAGUAUAGGAUUUCAUGCUAGGGAAUCACACACUAUAUAGUGUCUUUUGAACAUUUUAUUUUAGUUUAAUCCUCGCUUUUGUGCUCAGUGGAGCCUGUUUCUCUCUUUGCUGACUGUCAUUCCUUUGUACAAAUACGUCACAACUUGUCUUUUCAUUCAUCUGAUGAUGGGCUUUUGGUUUGUUUUUAGUUUUGGCUUUUAUGCAAAAGCCUUCUCUGCAAAAUAUUUGUACAAGUGUUUGGUGUACGUGAUUUUAUUUUUUUGGAUGAAUUUCUAAGAUGGGAAUGAUUAAAGCAUACAGGAGGGAUAUGUUUAACUUGUGAAACAAUUUUAAAGUGUACUUUUAUUGUAUGUAUGAGUGCUCUGUUUAUACAUAUACAUAGGCACCAUAUACAUACAUGCCUGGUGCCAGCAGAGGUCAGAAGGGGCAUUGGAUGAUCUGGAACUGGAGUUACAGGUGGUUGUGAGCAACCAUGUGGGCUCUGGGAAGUGAACAUAGGUCCCCUUAACCAGUGAGCCAUCUCUUGAGCCCCCAUGUUCAACUUAAAAAGCUAUCAACUGUUUUCAAAGUGCUUGUAUAAUUUUACAAACCUACUAGCAGUGUGUGAGCAUCUCAUUGCUGUGUAUCUGCCAGUGGUUGCUAUGGUGACGCCAGUUUUAACUUUUCUAGCCUUAGUGUAGUGGCUUCAUUUGCAUUUCCCUGAUCACUUGGCCAUCUUUUCUCAUAUUACAGUGUUCUUAGUGAAAUAUAUCUGAGCAUUUCACACAUUACUGCUGCCCGUUACCUUCCUGUUGCUGUUUUGCAAGAGAUAGUUACAUAUUUUACUUGAUGUAUUUGUGUAUGUGUGACCAGGUCUACAUAGUUGUGUGAGCGCAUAUAAGAAGGGGCCCAAGGAGGCCAGAAGAAGGUGUCUGAUCCCCUGGAACUGGAGCUGCUGGUGGUCGUGAGUUGCCUGCUAUGGAUUUAAGCUAUAGCUUUUCUCCUCUCUCAGCUGAAGACUUGGUGUGAUUGACAAGGCUGAGUGGAUCAGAUUGCCAAAGUGCCUCACUAUUGUGGCUGCUCAGUGUGUCCAUCAGCUCGGAGCUCUCUCAGUCUGUGCUUUGCAGAAUCAACUGCUCUCAGAGACCUCUGGGCAGAUUCUUCUUGCCCAGUGCCCAAUUCCAGCUGCACGGCAGCCCCAAUCCCUGACUUCUGUUUCUUUCACCCAUGAGACCGUUGCUCUUUGCAGGGCAGUGGUUCUCAACCUGUGGGUUGAGAUCCCUUUGCAGAGUGGGGGUGGUGAGGGGUGGCGUGCAUAUCAGAGGUUUUGCAUUUCAGGUAUUUACAUUAUGAUUCAUAACAGUAACAACAUUACAGUUAUUAAGAAGCAAUGAAAAUAAUUUUGUGGUUAAGGGUCACCACAGCAAGAGGAACUGUAUUAAAGGGUCAUAGUGUUAGAAUGGUUGAGAACCGCUCUGUACAGAGGUUUGGGAAGACGCUUCGGGCAAGAGGAUGAAAUGGACCUGGUGUUGCCUCUCAACUGCAAAUGUAGUGGCUGCUAGCAGCUGACCAUUUGAUGGAUGUGCGAACACAUUCAGUGGAGCCCUCAUCCUCUCUAUUAGAGGUUGAAAAGUUUCUGUCUAGAAGAAGAGAGCUCUCUGAGUAAGGGUGGUGAUGGAUGAUGGGGAGCAAGUCAGUUCUGGCUUACACCUUGAUGAUAGGACAGGCUUCUCUGGGGGAUGGAGAUGAUCUGGAAUCUCUUCUAGGGAACGAGUCAUAGUUUAUGUGUGUGUGUAAAACCAUCACAUGGAAAUUCUCCCCCUGUUUCCCACCAGAAUCAAUAGAGAUGGCUUCUGUCUGUGCUCUUCAAAUGAUGGCGUGGAAUUGAGGAGAUGCUAUAUGAAUAAAUUCCAGUGUUUAAUACAAGUUUCUCAAGGAUGGAGCUGGUUCUCCCUUUUGGUAAAGUUGAGGGAUGGUUCCCCUAGAGGUGGGCACAUAACUUCCUUUGAGAAGUCUUCCAGCUCUCAUGGUAGGAUGCACCCUCUGUGUUGAGCUCCUGCAAGCCCCUUGCUCUUGAUAUUUAGUACAAAGCAGUUGAAAUCUGAGAGGCCGGCAGUACUUUAUUUGGGGCCUCAUUGUUAGCUUACUCUGAGAUCUGGAGGAAUCCCCUUUAUGUGGAGUUUAUCCCUCCUCUGAAAUACAGAGCUCACUGACUCCCCAGCCCUACCAUUCUGGAAGAGACAUUUCAGUAAAACCAAGGUAUCAGUAAAAUCUCCAUGCUGAUUGAGCAUCUUUUUAAAGCCACUUAAUAUAUUUAUUUACUUAUUUAAGAGUUAUAUGUACUUGCCUAUGUGGGAAUUUGUACACAUAAGGGUAGGUGCCUAUGGA